CACCCUUUGUGACAUACCUACAACUGUUGCUUCGGCGGGUAGGGUCCCCGUGACCCUCCCGGCCUCCCGCCCCCCCGGGCGGGUCGGCGCCCGCCGGAGGAUAACCAAACUCUGAUUUAACGACGUUUCUUCUGAGUGGUACAAGCAAAUAAUCAAAACUUUUAACAACGGAUCUCUUGGUUCUGGCAUCGAUGAAGAACGCAGCGAAAUGCGAUAAGUAAUGUGAAUUGCAGAAUUCAGUGAAUCAUCGAAUCUUUGAACGCACAUUGCGCCCGCCAGCAUUCUGGCGGGCAUGCCUGUUCGAGCGUCAUUUCAACCCUCAAGCUCUGCUUGGUGUUGGGGCCCUACAGCUGAUGUAGGCCCUCAAAGGUAGUGGCGGACCCUCCCGGAGCCUCCUUUGCGUAGUAACUUUACGUCUCGCACUGGGAUCCGGAGGGACUCUUGCCGUAAAACCCCCCAAUUUUCCAAAGGUUGACCUCGGAUCAGGUAGGAAUACCCGCUGAACUUAAGCAUAUCAAAAAGGSSGGAGGGAAA
rnacentral:rRNA from 1 species